rnacentral:rRNA from 1 species
UACGUAGGGGGCGAGCGUUGUCCGGAUUUAUUGGGCGUAAAGAGCGUGUAGGCGGCCAGGUAGGUCUGCUGUGAAAACUCGAGGCUCAACCUCGAGACGUCGGCGGAAACCAUCUGGCUAGAGUCCGGAAGAGGAGAGUGGAAUUCCUGGUGUAGCGGUGAAAUGCGCAGAUAUCAGGAGGAACACCCGUAGCGAAGGCGGCACUCUGGGCCGAUACUGACGCUGAGAAGCGAAAGCAUGGGGAGCGAACAGG